UAGCAGAUCGUGGGAGAAAGGGGGCGGCGGCAUUGUGGAAAAUCUCACCUCGCCGGAGCUUUGACCGGCCGUUUGGGUGGUCAAACGACCUCCGUUUCGGCUCAGAUUUGGAGGGGGUGUUCUACUCGACGAGAGGAAUAAUCCUAUGGUGGCCAAUCGUAUUUUUAGCGACUGAAUUCUUAGAUAUGUGGUAGGGGANNNNNNNNNNNNNNNNNNNNNNNNNNNNNNNNNNNNNNNNNNNNNNNNNNNNNNNNNNNNNNNNNNNNNNNNNNNNNNNNNNNNNNNNNNNNNNNNNNNNGGAUAAAUUCACAAAUCACUAUAUUUUAAAUUUAACCCUAAUUUUGGAAUUUUUCAACCCAUCUAAUAAUUUUUUAACAAUUCAAAACAAUUAAUUAUAAAUCAAAAUCAAUUUUCCGCAAUUACAAAAAUUCCAAACAAAUUCCAAAUAAUCUAGAAAAAUUCAUACAACACCCAUAAUUCCUACUUAACUCAUAAUGACAACAUUUACAAUUUUUUUCAAGAGAAAAACACAUUAAAUUUAAGUUUUAGGGUUAGGGUCCCCUAUCACAGAUCUAAGAAUUCAGCCACUAAAAAUACGAUUGGCCAUCGUAGGAUUGUUCCUCUAGUCGAGUAGAACACCCCCUCCAAAUCUGAGCAGAAACGGAGGUCGUUUGACCACCCAAACGGCCGGUCAAAGCUCCGACGAGGUGAGAUUUUCCACAGUGCCGCCGCCCCCUUUCUCCCACGAUCUACUACUGUUUCCUUCUUUUUCACUCAAGCCCAUUUCUUUUCCUUUUAAUCCACUUACCAAACAACCCAUUCAAGCCCAUUUCUUUUCCUUUUAAACAGCCUACUCAAGCCCAUUUUUUUUCCUUUUAAACAGCCCACUCAAGCCCAUUUCUUUUCUUUUUAAUUCACUUACUAAACAGCCCAUUCAAGCCCAGCCCAAGUUAAAAAAAAAACCCAAUAACUAACUCCCAUUUUUCUUUUAAAACCCUAUUUCGUCCAAGCCCAAAUUAAUCCCUUUUUAUUUUUUAUUUUUUAUUUAUAAAACACACAAUUUAAUAUUUUCUCAAUUUUUAUUAAUAAGGAAUUUAAUUUAAUUAAUUAUUAUUAUUAUUUUAUUAAUUCUAAUUAAUUUUAAUUAAUUAACUUUUCAUUUUUGUUUUUGUUUUUCUUUUCCGGAAAUUCCCAAUUACUAAAAUCCUAAGAAAUUUCCACCCUAAGGCUGACAUGACAUAAAAUUUUCAACUCGCCUAAUUAACCAACACAAUAAAUCGAAUUUCACCAAUCCAAAAUUAACACGUGUUCUUCAGGCACUUUUCUUUUUGACUUUUCAACCAUUAUUCAAAAUAAGACUUUUCAAAAUUGAAAUGCUAACGUGACAUAAAAUACCCGGUCAUUACAUUCUACCCCCCUAAAAGAAAUUUCGUCCCGAAAUUUAAACGAGAUUACCUUAAAAAUCGUAGAAAAGUUGCGGAUAGUGUCGUCUCAUUUCUUCCUCAGGUUCCCAAGUGGCUUCUUCUAUCCCAUGGUGUUGCCACCACACUUUGACUGCAAGAAUCACCUUGUUUCUAAACCUAUGUUCUCCAACCUCCGGAAUUCAUAAAGGUUCCUCCACAUAAGAAGUAUCUUCACUAAUUUGAACAUCUUGCAAGUCCACUACCCAAGUUGGAUCUGGAGUACACUUCCUUAGCAUUGAUACAUGGAAAACAUCAUGCACAAGGGACAAUUGUUGAGGCAAAAUUAACUUGUAUGCCACUGGCCCAACUCUCUUCUCAAUCUGAAAUGGUCCCACAAGUCUAGGGGCUAACUUCCCCUUUUUCCCAAAUCGAAAUAUGCCUCUUCUAGGGGACACUUUUACAAACACUCAAUCCCCUUUCUUAAACUCCAAGGGCCUUCUCCUUUGGUCUGCAUAGCUUUUCUGUCUAUCUUGGGCAGUCUUAAACUUUUCCUUGAUGAGGUGUAUCUUUUCUGUAGUCUCUUGAACAAUCUCAGGUCCCAACAAACGUCUCUCACCCACCUCUAUCCAACACAAGGGUGAUCUACAAGGUCUCCCAUAGAGUGCUUCAUAAGGUGCCAUGCCAAUACUAGAUUGGUAACUGUUGUUAUAAGCAAACUCUGCCAAAGAUAAGUAAUCUUGCAAGGUAUUAUUGCAACCUUGGCUCUGAUACUACGCUGUCACGACCCAAAUUCCAGGCGACCUAAAAUUUAAUCCGUGACCCCAGGUCAAAGGUUUGACCCUAAGGGUUCCUCCUAUUCCACGUUGGCAGUCAACCAAAACACUCUGGAUUUUUUUUUUUUUUUUCAUACAUCCCACUAGAAUUCUCAUAAACUACAAUAUCCCAAAACUACUCAAAACAACCAAAUUAAAUAAAUAUUCAUUAUAGUCCAAAAAUAAAAGUUUACAAUUAACAACUUAAUCAAAAUAAAGCUUCAUAACAAAUCCAUAAGUCAUAAUUACUAAAACAAAUCCCAAAAUAAAAAAAAAAACACAAUAACAAAAAAUGCCACGCUUCAGGAGCAUCCUGAAGUCCUCCCUGCCCCACCUGUGGAUCCUCAGGAGAGAUAUCUGCAUCUAAAAAGGUGUAACAAGGAAGGGGUGAACAUUUCCACAUUGCUCAAUAGAAUGCCUAACACCCAAGGGUUAAGGGGAUUACUAAGUUUCAAAGAAUACGAAAAGAACAUUUCAACACAAAAGGAACAAUUCAACAGUAUCAAUCAAACCACAUAGUUUAAUAUAUAAUAUUAUACACAAUUUCACAAUAUUCAACAAUUACAUGAAUGCACAUGAACGUGUGACACACAGUCAUACAAUGCACUAUUGUUCUCAGGCUUUCACCGAAGGAUACGCGUCCGCACCCAAAUACACUCCCCAUUUGGAGUCUUCCGGGGGUAACUUUUGGGUCUUUCACCCUAGGGAUCUCUCUCCCUUCUUAAUUCGCCCCACACGACUUUCACUUCUCAUCACUAUUUUUUUUUUUUCCAUUUCAUACACUUUUCACAAUCUUCAUAAUUUUAUUUAUUUAUUUAUUUAUUUUCCACAUAACCAUGAUGCAAAUGAAUGCCACAAUUCCAAGGUUUCUCAAUAAUUCAACAAUCUCAACAUUCCCCAAUAAUCCAAUAAAAUAAUUUCCCACAUUAAAAUUUCCGAUAAUAUCCCAAAUAAAUAUUUAAAAAUUUGCAUAUCAAAAAUCUUGAAAUUUUACCACACUUACGGAAUUUUUCAACCAUUAUAAUAAUUUUCUAAUAUUCGAAAUUAACUAACUUUCUACCAUAAAAAUUCCAAAAAUUUUCUAACUAAUGCCCAAAAAUUCACAAAUCACUAUUUUUGAAAUUAAACCCUAAUUUCGGAAUUUUUCAACCCUUCUAAUAAUUUUUAAUAUCCAAAAUUAACUAACUUUUCACCAUAAAAAUUCCGAAAAUAUUCUAACCAAUGUCCAAAAAUUCACAAAUCACUAUAUUUGAAAUUUAACCCUAAUUUUGGGAAGGCAGACAGCUGGGAGAGUUUUUGCCUUGACCCCAACAGAGCCAAAGGAGGACGCCCUCUUGGUGGAAGGUAUGAUUUUGGUAUAUAGUACUUGGGUGCGUGUUUUGUUUGAUACUGGUGUAACUCAUUCUUUCAUUUCUACAUCUUGUGCUAAUGCAUUGGGGUUGAAAUCGGAAAGGGUAGAGAAUUUGUUACUUAUUGAAUCUCCUAUGGGUAUGAACUCUAAAGUUGAUAGAAUAUGCAAAGGGUGCGUUAUUACCUUGGCGGAUAGAGCACUUAAUGUGGAUUUGAGGAUUUUAGAUAUGACUGGGUAUGAUGUUAUCUUGGGAAUGGAUUGGUUGGCAGUGUAUAGAGCGCUUAUUGAUUGUCAUCGCCGUAGGAUAAUAUUUUGCCUGCCAGAUGGUUUUGAAGUUUGCUUUGUUGGAGAGAAGUGUGUUAGUCUUCCUUUUUCACAGUCUGAUCUGUGCUAUCAGUAUGUGUUGAGGAAAGGAUCAAUAAAUUUCCUAGCUUGCCUUCAUGGUAAGGAGAAAGCCCAGAAGGGCAUUACAGAAAUUCUAAUGAUGAGAAGUGAAAGCCGUGUGGGGCGAAUUAAGAAGGGAGAGAGAUCCCUAGGAUGAAAGACCCAAAAGUUACCCCGGGAAGACUCCAAAUGGGAAGUGUAUUUGGGUGCGGACGCGUAUCCUUCGGUGAAAGUUCGAGAACAAUAGUGCAUUGUAUGACUGUGUGUCACAUGUUCAUGUGCAUUCAUGUAAUUGUUGAAUAUUGUGAAAUUGUGUAUAAUAUUAGAUAUUAAACUAUGUGAUUUGAUUGAUACUGUUGAAUUGUUCCUGUUGUGUUGAAGUAUUCUUUUAGUAUUCUUUGGAACUUAGUAAUGCCCUUAACCCCUUGGGUGUUAGGCACCCUACUGAGCAAUGUGGAAAUGCUCACCCCUUCCUUGUUACACCUUUUUAGAUGCAGAUAUCUCUCAUGAGGAUCCACAGGUGGGGCAGGGAGGACUUCAGGAUGCUCCUGGAGCGGCCUAGUGGAGCGUGGCAUUUUCUGUUAUUGUGUUUUUUUUUUUGGAUUUUGGGAUUUGUUUUAGUAAUUAUGACUCAUGGAUUUGUUAUGAAGCUUUAUUUUGAUUAAGUUGUUAAUUGUGAACUUUUAUUUUGGACUAUAAUGAAUAUUUAUUUAAUCUUGUUGUUUUGAGUAGUUUUGGGAUAUUGUAGUUUAUGAGAAUUCUAGUGGGAUGUAUGAAAAAAAAAAAUCCAGAGUGUUUUGGUUGACUGCCAACGUGGAAUAGGAGAAACCCUUAGGGUCAAACCUUUGAUCUGGGGUCACGGGUCAAAUUUU
rnacentral:lncRNA from 1 species